UACGUAGGGGGCUAGCGUUGUCCGGAUUUAUUGGGCGUAAAGAGCGUGUAGGCGGUCCGGUAAGUCCGCUGUGAAAGUCGGGGGCUCAACCCUCGGAUGCCGGUGGAUACUGUCGGGCUUGAGUACGGAAGAGGCGAGUGGAAUUCCUGGUGUAGCGGUGAAAUGCGCAGAUAUCAGGAGGAACACCAAUUGCGAAGGCAGCUCGCUGGGACGUUACUGACGCUGAGACGCGAAAGCGUGGGGAGCAAACAGG
rnacentral:rRNA from 1 species